ensembl:lncRNA
AGCUGAGUGGUGCAGUAGAUACACUGGAAGGAAGGGAAGCCAUCCAGAGGGACCUGGACAGGUUGGAGAAGUGAGCCCAUGAAAACCUAAUGAGGUUCAAUAAGGUCAAGUGCAGGGUGCUGCACUUGGGUCAGGGCAAUCACAGAAAGCUUCCACCUCAGCUGUGCUGUCAAAAUGGGGGAGAAAUACAUGUGAAGCUGGUGGUAGAAAAUCUUUUUGUGAAUUUCUUCAGAAGGCUGGAUAGAAGAAGAGAUAUGGAAACAGAAUUUACAUAAGCAGAGAAAAAUUGACCUAUUUCUAUGUCUUUAAAUAUGUCUCCAUUUGACAAAAAAAUUAGUAAAAACUUUCAAUUUUACUGUAGCUCUGCAGAACAGAUAUUUGCUUACUUCAUUACCUAACUGAUGCAUGCAGGCAAACUGCAACCAGAGCAUCACUGGAAACUUUUCUUAUGGUGAAUGUACAAUUUUCAGCUAUGUGUAAGUACUGUAAAAAUCAUAUAUUUUCUCCAGGCUUCUAGAUGAGCCUUUAUAUGAAGCCAUACUCAUCUUUCACCUUUAUAUACUUUUAAGGAGCUCCAAAACUGGCAUGACCAUUAACUGUAUCUUAGAGGGUUUUUGCUUUGGCAGCAGAGGACAAGCUCUUACAGCACGCAAGCGAAAGCUUAACUUGAAGCACAUAAAGCAAGCUAGAACCAUGCUGGUAAUUUAUAUUUACUUUAGGAUGGUUGAUAGGAAAUUUUAGUAAAAAGUGGAUUUCCCAAUUUUUAUAUGCAGUAAAAAACUAUUUGGGCCCCUGCUAAUGAGAAGGUAGACCAACUUUAUCUACUCUUGGGUAUCUAGAAGAAUGAAACAGUUAGGUGUUAGCUCAGAUAAGGACAACAAAGAUUUACUAACUUAUUGGUGAGAUUUUCCUUCAAACUAACAUUUGAUGAAAUAAAGAUGAAAAUCAUCUGAAAAACAUUUUGUUUUUAAAAAAUUGAAUUUGAUGUAAUGAGGGACAUUUCAAUGAAACAAAAAUUAGUAGCAUCACUGCAAUCAAGAGGUGAAAAAUAUUAUAUUACUUGUGUCCUGAUAUGAUGCUAUUUCUAAUGGAAAAAAAAAAAAUCUUAAUAUCUACAUUGUUUAAAGACAUUGCAUUUGCCAUGCAAUGUGAGUUCGUACUAGAAGCUAAGAGAAACCUGAUCUUUUAUGCUCAUUAGAAAAUGUUAUCGAAAAAUCAUCAGCACCUUAUAGACUAUCUGAUGUAAUUCUUUAUUACUGCUCAUGAGCAGGCAAGGAUUUAAGCUGUAUAUUAUGUUUCUUAAUGGCAUAAUUAAAUUUCCCUUCUGUUCUGCAAAUGUCUUUUUCUUGUUUUCUGAGGUGGUUUAUACCUAAAGGCAAUAACUAAGUUUACUGCAGACAAACUGUAGAUAAUAUGUGAAGCUUAAGAUACUAUUUACCUUUUUGCUAAAAGCUGCAUAGUUGCUGCUUGAAAAAUAUGCCACAUGCACAAAUCACUCUGAAAAUAAAUGUUAAGGUGCUAUGACAUAAAAUGUAUUUAUGCUUGUUGCUUUUCCUUUUCAGUCUUUUAUGAUUCACAGCAUGUUGUACAGAGAUCUACUGGCUAUAUUUCAUUCUUCAUAAGUAAUGCGUCACAGUCAUUAUUACACCAUAUGGGGAAAGCACUGGGGGCUUUUUUGAUAUUUUGUAUAGUUUCAUUAGAGUAGGUUAUAUUUUACAUUCUAAUCUUAAAUGUGUUUUCUUACAUUCUUUCCUUUCUGCUUACUAGUGCAAUUAAGACAGUCUGAUAAGCUGAGUGAGCAUUUUCAGCAUAUUCUCUCAUGUGUAAGAGCUCUUUUAAUGUUAAAGAAUUUGGAUGACCUUAUGACUUUAAUUUCCAG